UACACACCGCCCGUCACAUCACGAAAGCCGGCUGUACCGGAAGUCGGUGGGCCAACCCGCAAGGGAGGCAGCCGCCCAUGGUAUGGCCGGUGAUUGGGGUG
rnacentral:rRNA from 1 species